rnacentral:rRNA from 1 species
UCGCGAAAACUUCACAAUGGGAGCAAUCCCGAUGAGGGAAUUCCAAGUGCUAGCACUAUGUGUUAGCUGUUCUUUUGUCUAAAAAACAGAAGAAGUAAGGGCCGGGUAAGACGGGUGCCAGCCGCCGCGGUAAUACCCGCGGCCCGAGUGGUGGUCGAUAUUAUUGAGCCUAAAACGUCCGUAGCCGGUCUUGUAAAUCCUUGGGUAAAUCGGCCAGCUUAACUGUCCGAAGUCCGGGGGAGACUGCAAGACUUGGGAUCGGGAGAGGUCAGAGGUACUUCUGGGGUAGGGGUAAAAUCCUGUAAUCCUGGAAGGACCACCGGUGGCGAAGGCGUCUGACUAGAACGAAUUCGACGGUGAGGGACGAAGCCCUGGGGCGCAAACGGGAUUAGAUACCCCCGGUAGUCCAGGGUGUAAACGCUGCGGGCUUGGUGUUGGGGGUCCUUUGGUGGGCGCCCAGUGCCGGAGAGAAGUUGUUAAGCCUGCUGCUUGGGGAGUACGUCCGCAAGGAUGAAACUUAAAGGAAUUGGGCGGGGGAGCGACCGCAACGGGAGGAGCGUGCGGUUCAAGUUGG